CAAGUGUUAAAGAUGUGAAUCAAUUAGUUAAGGCUGGUUUAAAGAGACUAUAAAAUAUUUUUCCAUUCAUUUCUCUCAAGCUUGUUUUUAAGUGUUAUCAGCAACAGUCUUUGUUUUCAGUGCAU